AGCAAAUCAUGGAAAUAAGAAAAUCAGAAUGGAUUAUUUCAGGCAUGAGAAAUAUUUUACCAACAUUUACAUUUGCUAUAGAGACAGUUUCUAUUGGGUGGUACUUCUAGGAAUUUUGAUACUGACAGCACCUUCAAACAUGACAAAGAUGUGACUGAGGUACUUGUAUGUUUGUGGAAUUAACAUCUGAGCUGGUGUUGCUAUCAAACCUGCAUUGUUUACCACAGUGAUAUCUCUCUUCUAAAAAAGAAAAGAGAGAAACAGACGAACUCCCCAGAAACUUCUUUGUAGCUGUAGAUUAAUCAUCUGCUUGAUUAAAAAAUGUGAGAUGAGUUCCAUUUCCCAUCGCUUGUCCUGUUUCCCUCCAUUAAAAAUAGUAGGUAUUUGAGCUAACUUCUCUGAGCACAUCAUUUUCACAGCUUCUCUGUAAAAUGGUAGUGAUUUCCCUGGUGACUUCGUAAAUUGUGUUUUAUUGUUUAUUUCUAUUUAUGUCAAAGAAAGAUAAUGUGAAAGUAUCAAAACUUGCUAAACGUAAUAUAUAGAUAAAUGUUGGUAAUUA